GGUAGGGCUACGCAGCCUGGAUUGGCCUCUUCUCUCCCGAACUGCUCUUGCCUCAGGCUUCCCAGCAAAUAUUCACUGCGGGCUGGAUGCUAAUGCAUAUAACAUCCCUGGUGGCCAACAGCUGGGGAAGAAGCUGAGGUGCUCUGCAUGCCAACAAUGUCUGUGCCCCAGAGCAGCCGCAAACUCCCACGUUCUUUCUCCCCUGGCUAUCCAAGAGUGGAUUGGCUGCAGGUACCUUAUCAGAGUGAGAAAAUGAAGAAAACAGGAAAAGAUGAUGGGUCUGAAGAGUGCUCAUCUACACUAAAGGCUUAUCAUAUGCCUACAGACUAGUCAUCAUUGGGAAACAGCUGGAAUAUCAGGCCAAGAGCACAGGAGUGGGAAACAGAGGAGCUUCCAGUCCCAGCUCUGCUCUGUCACCCCGAGAAAAUCCCUCCGCCUGUCUAAGCCACACGUUCACAUGUGUAGAUAAGGACACCAGCACUCCCCAUGGUGGUGUGAGGUCAGAUGAAAUGAUGUGCAUGAAGUUUCUGGGUACAGUAAACAACGCACUGGACAAAGGAAAGGCAUAUCUACUCUGCUUUUCUCUCUCUCCUGGGCUUCCCUGGUGGCUCAGAUGGUAACGAAUUUGCCGGCAAUGUGGGAGACCUGGGUUCGAUCCCUGGAUUGGGAAGAUCCCCUGGAGGAGGGCAUGGCAACCCACUCCAGUAUUCUUGCCUGGAGAAUCCCCAUGGACAGAGGAGCCUGGCAGGCUACAGUCCAUGGGGUCGCAAAGAGUCGGACAAGACUGAGUGACUCAGCACAACAUUCCCCUCUCUCCCACCACAGUGCACAAAGGCACAUUUUAGGAAACCUUGGAAUUGAUGAGCCAGCACCUUCCAACCAGCGGGGAUAGGCCUACGACUUCAAGGCUGUUAGCACAACAACAAAGGGAAACACAGAAAGAGGAGACUACGUCCAUGUAGUCUGGGAGAUAGACAGGAGGGCACUAAAAAAAAAGAAAAACUCAGGAUCCCAGACAGAAAACUUACCCUCAGGUCCAGGCCAUUCAGCUGCUUCUGCAAAUUCCCUGAGUCAGAAUCAAGUGUGCAGCAAGUUAGGGGAACAAGAGGCUUUAUUUAAGGAG
ensembl:lncRNA